GCAGGACAAGGGCCGCUUCUGCCUCACCUACGAGGCCUCCAUGACGCGGCUCUUCCGCGAGGGCCGGACGGAGACCGUGCGCUCCUGCACCUCCGAGUCGACCGCCUUCGUGCGGAGCAUGGGGGACGCCGGGCAGAGCGUGAGCACCGCGCCGCCACAUGCCCCUCGCGCUGCACCUUGACCCAAAUCCCUGUCCUUUUGGGUGUCCCCUCCCCUUGGGGACAUCCCCGUCUCCAGCAGAGGCCCCUGCCCCUCGGGGAGGUCCCCGGAGGCAGCACCCGUCACCGCAGGAGGGCCCUGACCCCGAUGGAGGUCCCUGUCCCUUGGGGAUGUCCCCAUCCCUUGGGGAUGUCCCCGUCCCUUGGGACCAUUUCCCCAGAGCCGCGGAGCCGCUGCCAGCCUCAGCGUGCCGAGCGCCAGCGGCUCUUCAAGCUGGCGGCGGAGAAGCACCAGCACAUGUACCGCAUGGCCAUGACCGGCGCCGGCAUCGACCGGCACCUCUUCUGCCUCUACGUGGUGUCCCGAUACCUGGGGGUAGAGUCCCCCUUCCUGGCACAGGUGCUGUCGGAGCCCUGGCGCCUCUCCACCAGCCAGACGCCGCAGCAGCAGCUGAAGAUGUUCGACCUGGACAAGUACCCGGACCACGUCUCCACCGGCGGCGGCUUCGGCCCGGUCGCCGACGAUGGCUACGGCGUCUCCUACAUCAUUGCUGGCGAGAACCUCAUCACCUUCCACGUCUCCAGCAAGUACUCCAGCCCCGAGACGGUGAGGGCUGAGGCUGGGGGCUGGGGGUCCCCGGGGCGGGGGGGGGGGGGGGGGGGGGCCCCCCCGGGGGGCGGGGGGGGGCCCCCCCCCCCCAACCCCACGCAGUGCUGAGCCUCACUGCAUCCCAGUCCCUCUCCGUGGGACCCCGACCACGCUCCAGGCUCACGGAGCUGCCUGUGUAGGACC
rnacentral:lncRNA from 1 species